rnacentral:rRNA from 1 species
UACGUAGGGAGCAAGCGUUGUCCGGAAUCAUUGAGCGUAAAGCGCGCGUAGGUGGCCUCAUAAGUCCGCUGUGAAAGUCAAAGGCUCAACCUUUGAAAGCCGGUGGAUACUGUGGGGCUAGAGUACGGAAGAGGCGAGUGGAAUUCCUGGUGUAGCGGUGGAAUGCGCAGAUAUCAGGAGGAACACCAAUAGCGAAGGCAGCUCGCUGGGACGUUACUGACGCUGAGACGCGAAAGCGUGGGGAGCGAACAGG